UACGGAGGGUGCUAGCGUUGUUCGGAAUUACUGGGCGUAAAGCGCACGUAGGCGGCUUUGUAAGUUAGAGGUGAAAGCCCGGGGCUCAACCCCGGAAUUGCCUUUAAGACUGCAUCGCUUGAAUCCGGGAGAGGUGAGUGGAAUUCCGAGUGUAGAGGUGAAAUUCGUAGAUAUUCGGAAGAACACCAGUGGCGAAGGCGGCUCACUGGACCGGCAUUGACGCUGAGGUGCGAAAGCGUGGGGAGCAAACAGG
rnacentral:rRNA from 1 species